CGGGAAGUAGCUCAGCUUGGUAGAGCACUUGGUUUGGGACCAAGGGGUCGCAGGUUCGAACCCCGUCUUCCCGA
rnacentral:tRNA from 1 species